CUGAAGCUCGAUGCAAACUGCAAACACUGCAAGGCAAAAAAAAUUGUGUCUGAGACUGACGGCUUCUUCUGUCGCAAUGGCCAUAUCGAACUUAAACAACCUGAGCCAAUCCCAAAGCUGAUGAGGCUAUGGUCAAGCAUGGAUGCAGAUUCUAGACAUUUUCGGGAAAACAUACGCUUCUUCAACGGGCAUUUCGCCUUCACAACCCUUGGCGUCAGCCUUGAUGAGAACUACACAAACAUGAAGUCUGGGGUGUACACAUUCCGGGCACACGGCACCAUCUAC
rnacentral:rRNA from 1 species